AUGGAUAAACAAAUUAUAAAGCUUGGCUUAUUGAAUAUCAGAUCCAUUUCUACGAAAACACUUUUUGUAAAUAAUAUUAUAACUGAUCAUAAUAUAGAUGUGCUCUGUUUGACAGAAACUUGGCUAAAACCUGAUGAUUACAUUAUUUUAAAUGAGUCCACCCCCCAAGAUUAUUGUUAUAAACAUGAGCCGCGUCUAAAAGGCAAAGGUGGAGGAGUUGCUUCAAUUUAUAACAACGUUUUCAGGAUUUCUCAGAGGGCAGGCUUCAAGUAUAACUCGUUUGAAGUAAUGGUGCUUCAUAUAACAUUAUCCAGAGAAACCAAUGUUAAUGAUAAAUCCCCUGUUAUGUUUGUACUGGCUACUGUAUACAGGCCACCAGGGCACCAUACAGAUUUUAUUAAAGAGUUUGGUGAUUUUACAUCCAAGUUAGUUCUGGCUGCAGAUAAAGUCUUAAUAGUUGGUGAUUUUAAUAUCCAUGUCGAUAAUGAAAAAGAUGCAUUGGGAUCAGCAUUUAUAGACAUUCUGAACUCUAUUGGUGUUAGACAACACGUUUCAGGACUUACUCAUUGUCGAAAUCAUACUCUAGAUUUAAUACUGUCACAUGGAAUUGAUGUUGAUAGUGUUGAAAUUAUUCAGCCAAGUGAUGAUAUCUCAGAUCAUUAUUUAGUUCUGUGUAAACUUCAUAUAGACAAAAUUGUAAAUUCUACUUCUUGUAGCAUGUAUGGAAGAACCAUCACUUCUACCACAAAAGACUGCUUUUUAAGUUAUCUUCCUGAUGUAUCCGAAUUCCUUAGCAUAUCCAAAACCUCAGAACAACUUGAUGAUGUAACAGAAACUAUGGACUCUCUCUUUUCUAGCACUUUAAAUACAGUUGCUCCUUUACGCUUAAGGAAGGUUAAGGAAAACAGUUUGACACCAUGGUAUAAUGAGCAUACUCGCACCCUAAAGAGAGCAGCCCGAAAAAUGGAGCACAGCUGGAGGAAAACAAACACUAGAGGUAUUUCGUAUUGCUUGGCGGGAAAGUAA
rnacentral:lncRNA from 1 species